GUAUUUUUGAGGAAUUCAUAAGCAAAACUGAAUUUGUUUUAGUUAACUCCCUCUUUGGAAUAUUGUCGACUUAUCAAAAUAGUACAAAGAGUGUCUGUCUGGAGUGAGAAGACUUGAACUCUAGUUUUAGAUCUGCUACAGACUAGUUGUUUGGCUUGGAGGUCUCUCCCAACUGCUAAGAAUCUGUGAUUCUCUCUAGUCAGACCAUCAGAGGAAAAUACUGCAGCAUUCUCCUCCACAUGUUGUGUGGUCAACCUAGGAUCCAAGCACAGUCUUCCACAGUUUCCUGCCCCAUCUUCCUCUAAGAAGCUCCUGGAACAAAACUCAAUCACACAGAAAGUCUCUGAAGAGAAUAACUUCACAAGACGUUUUUGAAAAUGAACAGGAACUUCCUUGAUAAUACGAAAAGGAAUGUAUCUGGUUUAACAAAUGUGUGCAUGUCCUUCUCUUGUCACAUUGAUGUCCAAAUCUUGCCUUUUUUCUUUUCUUUUUUUGUUUAAUUCUCAGUAUGUUAAUUGCAAACUUCUACAUCCAAGAAGAGUGAAAUUUGUAUGUUUUGAUACAACAAAUGCCUGAUACUUGGAACCUAAAAAUAUUAAAAGAAUAGUAUCAGAGUCAGCAGAUAGAUAACUUAA